rnacentral:rRNA from 1 species
GUGUGCGAUUGACCGGGAUUCGUCCUGUGAUACGCCUUGGUGGCGAGGGCAUGCACUUCUCCCCUAGUAGGACGUCGCGACCCGUUGGGUGUCGGUCUACGGCGUAGCCUGAAGUGAAUUGUCAGACCCUGCGUGUCCUGGCCGACUGCCCGACGGUAUAGCGUUCGGCCGGUCGCAAGCGUGUGCGGUUCUUUUGGCUGUCGGACCUGGUCCGGCACCGAUCCCGCCGUGCUGUUGGUGACCGUGUCCUCGGACAGACUCUACAGGUCAGCGAUGCUAUUGCUUUGGGUACUUUCAGGACCCGUCUUGAAACACGGACCAAGGAGUCUAGCAUGUGCGCAAGUCAUUGGGAAUUACAAAACCUAAAGGCGUAAUGAAAGUGAAGGUUCGCUUAUGUGAACUUAGGGAUGAUGGUUCGGUGCAAACUCGCAAUCCCGGGGCGUCUUACUCUCAUUGAGAAGAGGCGCACCAAGAGCGUACACGCUGGGACCCGAAAGAUGGUGAACUAUGCCUGGUCAGGUCGAAGUCAGGGGAAACCCUGAUGGAGGACCGUAGCGAUUCUGACGUGCAAAUCGAUCGUCGGAACUGGGUAUAGCGGCGAAAGACUAAUCGAACCAUCUAGUAGCUGGUUCCCUCCGAAGUUUCCCUCAGGAUAGCUGGCAUUCGAUGAGCGAGUCUCAUCCGGUAAAGCGAAUGAUUAGAGGCCUUGGGGCCGAAACGACCUCAACCUAUUCUCAAACUUUAAAUGGGUGAGAUCUCUGGCUUGCUUAAAUAGUGAAGCCAGAG